GUCCAGGAUGGAUUCAUCACUGACAGAUCAGGGUUAUCGCCCUCCGCCUGUGCCCCUCUACUUUUAAUCAGGCUCUUCUCCGGUCACUCCCUAUCAGCAACAGUCCAUCUCUGGAGCCGUCAGCAUCCAUCAGCAGCUGCAGACAAGUCCAGGGAGCUCCAACCGAGGAGUGCAUUAUGUGAGGGGAAGUCGAGGGCCUGUGCACAACACCGGGUUGGUGCAGAGGUGUGGUGAUUGGAGUACACAGGUCACGACCUCCAACUUGUAAUGAUCACCUGAUGGAUGUUGUGAGUCUGGGGUCAUCUGUGUGUCAGGAGAGAACAGGGAGGAACAAGUGUUGGUCCCCCCUGCACGGCCUGCAAAAAACCAGAUUGUGCAGAGCAGUUCCUGAUGAGGGCCACUGGGAGACAGAGAGAGGGAGCAGCAGAUCUAGGACUGAGGCCUCCAUCCAUCCGGAGAGAGAAUAACUCCAUCUCUCGCUGAUAAAGGCAGCUGGCUGUGCGGACGCUCGGUAAAAUUUUAUAGUCAGAUAUGCACAGAUGAGUGGGCCAGCUGUGCAGUGUCAUAUAUUCCAAAACAAACCCUGAAGGAGCUGAACUUUCACCCCUUGCACAUAUGGGUUACAGGGCUUGCAUUCACACUGUUGUUCAUGCACUUAAACAUGUGCAAACUUUACACAUAGCAGAAACAGAGAGUCACAGUGUGCUGCAUAGGGCGCAUGGAAGUUGGACUACUCGACCCUUU